rnacentral:rRNA from 1 species
GACGAACGCUGGCGGCGUGCUUAACACAUGCAAGUCGAACGGAAAGGCCCCUUUGGGGGUACUCGAGUGGCGAACGGGUGAGUAACACGUGAGUAACCUGCCCUUGACUUCGGGAUAACUUCAGGAAACUGGGGCUAAUACCGGAUAGGAAUCCUUGCUGCAUGGUGGGGGUUGGAAAGCUUCGGCGGUUUUGGAUGGACUCGCGGCUUAUCAGCUUGUUGGUGGGGUAGUGGCUUACCAAGGCUUUGACGGGUAGCCGGCCUGAGAGGGCGACCGGCCACAUUGGGACUGAGAUACGGCCCAGACUCCUACGGGAGGCAGCAGUGGGGAAUAUUGCACAAUGGGCGGAAGCCUGAUGCAGCAACGCCGCGUGCGGGAUGACGGCCUUCGGGUUGUAAACCGCUUUCAGCAGGGGCGAAGCUUGUGGUGACGGUACCUGCAGAAGAAGCACCGGCUAAAUACGUG